rnacentral:rRNA from 1 species
AGAGUUUGAUCAUGGCUCAGGAUGAACGCUAGCGGCAGGCCUAAUACAUGCAAGUCGUACGGGAUUGAGGACUUCGGUUCUCAUGAGAGUGGCGCACGGGUGCGUAACACGUAUGCAACCUACCUUUAACUGGGGGAUAGCCUUUCGAAAGAGAGAUUAAUACCGCAUAAAACAGCAGCACUGCAUGGUGUAACUGUUAAAGCUUCGGUGGUUAAAGAUGGGCAUGCGUUGCAUUAGCUAGUUGGUAAGGUAACGGCUUACCAAGGCUACGAUGCAUAGGGGAUCUGAGAGGAUGAUCCCCCACACUGGUACUGAGACACGGACCAGACUCCUACGGGAGGCAGCAGUAAGGAAUAUUGGUCAAUGGGCGCAAGCCUGAACCAGCCAUGCCGCGUGCAGGAAGACGGCCCUAUGGGUUGUAAACUGCUUUUAUCGGGGAAUAAACCUCAUUACGUGUAAUGAGUUGAAGGUACCCGAAGAAUAAGGAUCGGCUAACUCCGUGCCAGCAGCCGCGGUAAUAC